AAAGAUGCCACGCUAUGUAGA
rnacentral:piRNA from 1 species